UCCGUUGGUUCGAUUGGUUGACUCCGAGGGGGCGAUUAACUCGCUUGAGCUGAUCCGUCCCUCGGGUCGGACUCAAGGGAAGAUUCGCUUGAAGCUCGAGAUCAAGGAGCGGCCGAUCCCACCUCAAAAUUACUAUUCUGCCCCUAAUGGUUUACCGCCGAUCCAACCUCAAAAUUACUAUUCUGCCCCUGAAGGGAACCCUUAUUAUUCCCCACCUCCAGCUCCGAUCACCUCGCCGUCUCCUCAGCGCGAUUACAGAGACUUCUCACCUUAUCCAUUCACUGAUCACUA
rnacentral:lncRNA from 1 species